rnacentral:pre_miRNA from 1 species
AGCCAGGACCUGAUCCAAAGCCCACUUAGGUCAAGGGGAGUCUUUCCACUGACUUCAGUGGGCUUUGGAUCAGUUCCUUAAUCA